rnacentral:rRNA from 1 species
CCUACGGGUGGCAGCAGUGAGGAAUAUUGGUCAAUGGACGAGAGUCUGAACCAGCCAAGUAGCGUGAAGGAUGACUGCCCUAUGGGUUGUAAACUUCUUUUAUAUGGGAAUAAAAUGUUCCACGUGUGGGAUUUUGUAUGUCUCAUAUGAAUAAGGAUCGGCUAACUCCGUGCCAGCAGCCGCGGUAAUACGGAGGCUCCGAGCGUUAUCCGGAUUUAUUGGGUUUAAAGGGAGCGUAGGUGGGUUGUUAAGUCAGUUGUUAAAGUUUGCGGCUCAACCGUAAAAUUGCAGUUGAAACUGGCAGUCUAGAGUACAGGAGAGGUGGGCGGAAUUCGUGGUGUAGCGGUGAAAUGCUUAGAUAUCAAGAAGAACGCCGAUUGCGAAGGCAGUUCACUGGACUGCAACUGACACUGAGGCUCGAAAGUGGGGGUAUCAAACAGGAUUAGAUACCCGGGUAGUC